rnacentral:rRNA from 1 species
GACGAACCGAGCAAACGUUAUUCGGAAUCACUGGGCUUAAAGGGCGCGUAGGCGGGCAUUCAAGUCCGUGGUGAAAUCCGGCAGCUCAACUGUCGAACUGCCGCGGAUACUGGGUGUCUCGAGGGAGGUAGGGGCGUGCGGAACUAUUGGUGGAGCGGUGAAAUGCGUUGAUAUCAAUAGGAACUCCGGUGGCGAAGGCGGCACGCUGGACCUCUUCUGACGCUGAGGCGCGAAAGCCAGGGGAGCAAACGGGG